rnacentral:rRNA from 1 species
CCAGUUCGGAUUGUAGUCUGCAACCCGACUACAUGAAGCUGGAAUCGCUAGUAAUCGCGGAUCAGAAUGCCGCGGUGAAUACGUUCCCGGGUCUUGUACACACCGCCCGUCGCACCAUGGGAGUCGGAAAUGCCCGAAGUCUGUGACCCAACCUUAGGGAGGGAGCAGCCGAAGGCAGGUCGGAUGACUGGGGUGAAGUCGUAACAAGGUACC